UACGAAGGGGGCUAGCGUUGUCCGGAAUCACUGGGCGUAAAGCGCACGUAGGCGGACUCUUAAGUCAGGGGUGAAAUCCUGGAGCUCAACUCCAGAACUGCCUUUGAUACUGGGAGUCUUGAGUUCGGGAGAGGUGAGUGGAACUGCGAGUGUAGAGGUGAAGUUCGUAGAUAUUCGCAAGAACACCAGUGGCGAAGGCGGCUCACUGGCCCGAUACUGACGCUGAGGCACGAAAGCGUGGGGAGCAAACAGG
rnacentral:rRNA from 1 species